GAUCUAAGAUGGAACCGGAAACCACCCCUACCACUAAUCCCCCACCUGCAGAAGAGGACAAAACAGAGUCUAAUCAGGAGGUUGCUAACCCAGAGCACUAUAUUAAAUACCCUCUACAGAACAGGUGGGCACUCUGGUUUUUUAAAAAUGAUAAAAGCAAAACUUGGCAAGCAAACCUUCGAUUGAUCUCUAAGUUUGACACUGUUGAAGACUUUUGGGCUCUAUACAACCAUAUCCGGUUGUCUAGUAUUUUAAUGCCUGGCUGUGACUACUCACUUUUUAAGGAUGGUAUUGAGCCUAUGUGGGAAGAUGAGAAAAACAAACGAGGAGGACGCUGGCUGAUCACACUGAACAAGAAGCAGAGACGGAGUGACCUCGAUCGCUUCUGGCUAGAGACACUGCUGUGCCUUAUUGGAGAAUCUUUCGAUGACUACAGUGAUGAUGUGUGUGGAGCUGUUGUUAAUGUUAGAGCUAAAGGUGAUAAGAUAGCAAUAUGGACUACUGAGUGUGAAAACAGAGGUGCAGUCACACACAUAGGGAGGGUAUACAAGGAAAGGUUAGGACUUCCUCCGAAGAUAGUGAUUGGUUAUCAGUCCCAUGCAGACACAGCUACAAAGAGCNGCUCCACCACUAAAAAUAGGUUUGUUGUUUAAGAAGACACCUUNUGAGUAUUCUCACAGGAGACUGCGUCACGCAAUCGAGAUUGGGAGCUGAACCAAAGCCUCAUCGAAGCAGAGUGGACUGCANUGGAGCUGAUUCCAUCNAAGUGUUGCUAAGAUAUAAGAGAAGUCUCAUUCGCCUUUGUCUUGUACUUCUGUGUUCAUUCUCCCCCACCCCCAAUUUUUGCUAGUGUGUCCAGUAUCCCAAUCAAAGAAUUACAGUAUACGUCACCCCAGAACCCGCAGAUGUGUUCCUGGCCCGCUCUGUAACGGCCGGUUAGAAUUACCAUGACACACACAUUUGCCUUUCCACAGUAUUCAAAAAAGAACAUGCAUUUCUAUCACCUUAGCAGGAAAGAUCUGGUUUUGUUCCACUCCAUGCAGGAGCGGACUUUGCUGGUAUGAGAGUCUGAGUACAGCUUUCUAGCAACCUUCUGUUUCCUUUCACAGCAUUGACCUUGCUAUCCUCUUGCUGAUGGCUGCUAGAUUUAAUUUAUUUGCUUCCCUCCUUGAUAACAUUAGUGAUUCUGAUUUCAGUUUUUCAUUUGUUUUGCUUUUGUUUUUUUUUCUCAUGUAACAUUGGUGAAGGAUCCAGUAAUAUGACAGAAAGGUGGAAUAAACAUUAAAUUUGUGCAUUCUUUGGUAAUUUUUUUGUUUUUUGUAACUACAAAGCUUUGCUACAAAUUUAUGCAUUUCAUUCAAAUCAGUGAUCUAUGUCUGUGUGAUUCCUAAACAUAAUUGUGGACUAUAAAAAUGUAACACCAUAAUUACAUUCCUAACUAGAAUUAGUAUGUCUGCCUUUGUAUCUUUAUGCUGUACCCUAACACUUUGUAUUACUUAGGUUAUUUUGCUUUGGUUACAAUGGCUCAAGUAGAAAAGCGGUCCCAUCCAUAUUAAGACAGUGUACAAAACUGUAAAUAAAAUGUGUACAGUGAA